rnacentral:rRNA from 1 species
UACGAAGGGGGCUAGCGUUGCUCGGAAUUACUGGGCGUAAAGCGCACGUAGGCGGAUCUUUAAGUCAGGGGUGAAAUCCCAAGGCUCAACCUUGGAACUGCCUUUGAUACUGGGGAUCUCGAGUCCGGAAGAGGUUGGUGGAACUGCGAGUGUAGAGGUGAAAUUCGUAGAUAUUCGCAAGAACACCAGUGGCGAAGGCGGCCAACUGGUCCGGUACUGACGCUGAGGUGCGAAAGCGUGGGGAGCAAACAGG